UACGAAGGGGGCUAGCGUUGCUCGGAAUUACUGGGCGUAAAGGGCGCGUAGGCGGCACUGUUAGUCAGGCGUGAAAGUCCUGGGCUCAACCUGGGAACUGCGCUUGAUACGGCAGAGCUAGAGGAUGGAAGAGGCUCGCGGAAUUCCCAGUGUAGAGGUGAAAUUCGUAGAUAUUGGGAAGAACACCGGUGGCGAAGGCGGCGAGCUGGUCCAUUACUGACGCUGAGGCGCGACAGCGUGGGGAGCAAACAG
rnacentral:rRNA from 1 species